CAAAGAAUAAGUCAUGAUAUCAUUUUCUUUAACUAAAACACCCUUUAAGGCAGUGCUCCAGCAUGGCUGCAGUUAAAUGACUGAAACAAAUAAAAGAAUAUACAUACAUAGAGUGAUUCAUAUAAUCUUGAGAUUUUGUAUAUAUUCCUUUCUACCAGUGUGUAACUGGUACAUAUUUCAUUAAACCCCAAAAAAUGUAAGGAUGGAUGAAAUGCCGCUAAGCAUUUUGCCUGGCAUGCUAAUGAUUCUGCCAGUUUGCCACCUUAGACAUUGUAUAUAUUAAACCAUGAUAUCUACCAUUUAAACUAGUUCAGUUAUUGAACAUUUGAUAGUAGUUGCGGGCCUUUGUUACUGGCUAAUUCAUAAUUUGCUAUUUGCAGACAGAUCAUAAACUAAGGACAAUUGGUGGGAUUUCAGGAUCUAUGUAAUGGUACAGUAGCAAUGCCUCUAGUCAAAAAAUUUUGUUUGUUGGGUGAGGCUAAUAAAUUAUUCUUACCUCCCUUAGUCUCUCUAUAUAACUUAUCCUUAUUGUUAAUACAGAAGUAUGCUGAAUACUUUAUUUGUUGAAGAUAACUGGCUAUUGUACUUUUUUUUUUCCAAUAAAUUACCUUUAACUUGUCUGUAUUGCUAUCAAUAUAUAUAUAUAUAUAUAUAUAUAUAAAUUAGAAAACAAAAACCUUUUAUCACCUUCUAAUUUAUAUAUAUAUAUAUAUUAUAUUUUGUGAAAUUUGAUUUGGUAUUUCUAAAUUGAAUUUUUCCCUGUAAGUUUGGAAUAAUAUUCCCUCAUAUUAUUACAAUAUAUAUAUAUAUAAUAUAAUAUAUAUAUAUAUAUAAUCCGAGAAUGCCAAGUUAACUUAUUCACGGGUAAACUUAUUACUUAUUGAUUGCUAUUUGUUUAGACUAAAUAUGCUUGCUUGUUUUAUUUCAACCACACAUCACUAUUGCUUCAUUUGAUUUCAUUUACAGCCAUUGAGGUAGACUUGAAUUGUGAUGCUGUAGAGGGUGGUUUCCUCUACUCUGUCCAUGAGGUUUUUGGGACAACAAAUGGUCAUUGGCCUUUUUAGUCCAGCUAAAUUCAUUGUGUGGCUGCAUGCUAAAAAUAUUAUUAUAUAAUUGCUUCUUUGGUUUGCUGUCCAAUUACUUUACACUUACAAACUUAGCCUUUGUAACAUCUAACUAUUAUAAGAUUAAGUUUACCUUAAUUGUAAACCUAUUUUCCCUUGUUUUCGAACAAGGUGCAUCUUUCACCUACAAUUAAUAUUCAGUAACACACUUUUUCUGUUUUUAUCCUUUUUAAGGUAGGAUUUAAUAAUAAAUUUUACCAUUUUCAGAAUGUUUUCUCUUUACUUUAUACAUUUUAUUUUGUUAUAAAAUAUAUUUCUGCAA